UACGGGGGGGGCAAGCGUUGUUCGGAAUUACUGGGCGUAAAGGGCUUGUAGGCGGCCAACUAAGUCGGAUGUGAAAUCCCCAGGCUCAACCUGGGAACUGCAUCCGAUACUGGAUGGCUUGAAUUCGGGAGAGGGAUGCAGAAUUCCAGGUGUAGCGGUGAAAUGCGUAGAUAUCUGGAGGAAUACCGGUGGCGAAGGCGGCAUCCUGGACCGACAUUGACGCUGAGGAGCGAAAGCCAGGGGAGGCAAACGGG
rnacentral:rRNA from 1 species